rnacentral:lncRNA from 1 species
AUCUCAGCUCACUGCAACCUCCGCCUCCCGGGUUCAAGCGAUUUUCCUGCCUCAGCCUCCUGAGUAGCUGGGAUUACAGGCAUGCACCGUCACACCCAGCUAAUUUUUGUAUUUUAAUACUGACAGGGUUUCAUUAUAUCGGCCAGGCUGGUCUCAAACUUUUAACCUCAGGUGAUCCACCCGCCUUGGCCUCCCAAGGUUUUGGGAUUACAGGCAUGAGCCACCAAGCCUGGAAAAAUA